CUGCAGCCAAUUAAGCCGACUGUGCUCCUUUCUUUGUGGUGGCCCAGUGUGCAAUGGCUGCAAACAGCAGCCUCCUUGGUAGUGUAUGCAGCCUGUUGCUUGUACGGGUUGCCCUAAGGGACCUUGGAGACAGCC